GUUAACCCCUCAGAGACCGGAGGCUGAGAUGUGGGUUUUUCUAUCCCCUUGUUCUGCCACUACAAGGAGUUUCAGGUGGGAGCUGUGGAGGAAGAAAGUGGUGGCAGAGAAGAUUUCAAGACUGCAGCGAAGGAUUGUAGGCAUUUCUGGCUUUGGAACUACAUGUUUCAGCUCUGCGGUUGCUGGCUACACCAACCUCCACAGUGUUUGUUGUUCUUUUAUGUGUUGCUUGGUAAAUGGUCUGUAUUUAUAUAGCUUUACUAUACCGGAACGAUACCCAAAGCGCUUUACAUUAUACAUCACAUUCACCCAUUCACACACUGAUGGCGGAAGCUGCCAUGCAAGGCGCUAACCACGACCCAUCAGGAGCAUUUAGGGGUUCAGUGUCUUGCUCAGGCACACCUCGACAUGAGCUCUCCAGGCGAGGAUCGAACCGGCAACCCUCCAGUUACAAGACAGCCACUCUACCCGCUGAGCCAUGCUGCCCCCAUAUGCUUAUCUGAUUUCUACCUGCUAUCCCUUUUGUCUGUCCUUUAACCUCAACCCAACCAGCUGAAGCAGAUGGCUGCCUUCCUUGAGCCUGGUUCUGCAGGAAGUUUCUUCCAGCUAAAGAGGAGUUUUCUUCUGUCACCAAAGAUCUUGGUCAAAGAGAGUAUUUGGACUGUGCUGAGCUUCUCUCCAUAAUUUUGUAAAGUCCUCAUCGAACUCUGUGAAAUGCCUUGAGAUUAUACAUGUUGUGGAACUGAGCAGGGAUCCAGUGGAGGUGACUAAGGAGGAAUGUGAUGUGAUCGAAGGAAUUACUGCGGGUGACGAACCCAACAGCAGGAUUUUAAAUGAUUUGGAAUUGGUGGAGAACUUGAUUGGAAAUACCAGAGUAUCACUUUGCAGUAAUCAAUGCACAAUGUAACCAGGGUGUGAAUAAGAACUAACUAAUCGAUCGAUCAGCUAAUUACUUCAGGCCUAAUCCAGAUCAAUCUGUAUACACUACAGUGGUGCUAGAGGAUUUUACCCCAAUUAGUGGCUCUCAUUUGAACUGUGUGCUUUAUCAGAGGAAAGGAAGGCUGAAUUUAACAACAUGAACAUGGCAGCAGUGUCCAUAAUGGUUCCUGCUAACUUGACAUUUAACCUAAAAUACCCUUUGCAUGCUGUUUGAAUUGAAGGUUACUAAGUUACUUCUAAGUUUAAGAGGUCAUGCAGUGUUGCCGGUGUUUUUGUAAGCAACGUCACCUAGCUGAUAGUUAACACAACCUGUUGUCAUGCUGCUAUCGCUGUUCCAAUGAAAAACAGCACUGAGCAUUAUUCAACAUUCACACAUGGCUUUCAUUGCCACAUAACAUUUCACAGCUCCUCACCCUUCAGCUAGUUGCAUUCCUGAUCCACAUGCUAAUGAAUGAAACCCCAGGAUUGAAAUUCCCACUGCGGUGAUUUUAAAGAGAACAACCUUUUCGGGCGUAGAUAGAUUAGCUGAAACAGCUUGUUUUCUGUUCAUCUAAUAGUCACAUCUAGUGAGCCGUCCUGUCCCUGCUGAGUCUGCAAACAGAUGUAUCAUCAAUAGAAGGAAUGCAGACCCUAAUCGACACUAAAGGUAAAUCACCAGCAGUAAUCACUGACUACACUGAAACGUUGAAGGAUAAAGUCCAUCCCAGUGUUCACACAAUGUGUCUGAAUGAUAUUACACUGUUAAACAUUCUCACAGUAAAGAAAAGCAGGAAAAAAUGUUGGUCAAAGGUGGCUUGUAGAAAAGGAUCAAUUUGGAGAAAGAAAAACAAACAGGACUCCAAGCAGCUGGUCUGGUUCCAUCUCCAUGGCAGAGACAGACCAGAGAUAGACUAGUGGCUUUUAGCAUCAUGGUCUUAAUGAUCCCUACCACUGUGAGUUGACGGAGCUGGUGAGCUCUAGUCUCUCUCAGCAUGGGAUUUAGUGCUGAAAGGCUUCGACGUCAGCACCCCAACACUCCAUCAGUAACAUGCAUUUAAUGCAUUCUAGGAGGAAAACUCCUUUGAAACAAUGGGAACCUUGGUGGCAUAAAACAAUCUUUAUUAUUGAUAAAUCUACUGAUUAUUAUUUUUUGUUUGAUCAGUCUGUAAGAAAAAAAUGAAAAAAUAUCCAAAUAUCCAUUGCCCAAACCAAACAUUUGUUUUGUCAGAUCACCAGUUCAACACCAAAUAUCUCGUAUUUUCACUUGAAUUAUCAGAAUAGAUAUCGUUUCUUUAUCUGUCUGUGAACUGCUUGGUUAACCAACUAAAUGCGUCAGCUGUAGAUGGCUUUAAAAAAAGCAAAAUACAGUAAUAAUUAGCAACUGUUAUUUUAAAAAAAAAAUCUCAAGUAGAACAUCUGCUGGGAAAAAGCAUCCAUAUAUCGUCUACUACAUGCUCUUGUUUUUCUCAUUUCUUGCUUUCUUAGCUGUUUUAGUCAUUUCAUUGUUGUUCUAGAAAUCAAUGUGCCCUUUCUUCAACUUGUCUGUACUAUUUUUGCCUAUUUUAAUUUAAUUAAUUACAUUUCUAUCAUUUAUAUACAUGUUUAAUUUAAUUUCUUCUUUUUUUUACAUUUGCAUGUAAAGCACUUUUAAUAACCACUGAGUAAGGUACUAUAUAAAUAAACUUGCUUGCUCCAUUUGUUUUACAUGCAGGAAAUUGACAGAUGUUCUAGAUUGGCACAAAGAACAUGGUUGGGGUGAGCAUGUGUCUUUUUGGGAACUUCUCUUUUAUCUCUAAAAGAGAAGUCUAGUUGCUUUUUAUUGAAACUUGUAGAACUACCAUGACCUGGUUGACUGAGAAUCUACACAGACACUGGUAUCACUGUGUUUUGCCAGUAAUUUUAGAACUGACUUCCACAACACCUUGCAGUCAGUUCUUCUUGGGUCUUCUUCGCACUGGGAUCUGUAUUUUAUGUAUUUUUAGGUCUGGAUGGUUUCAACUCUUCUACCAUGAAUCACAGUUGGAUGAAGGUUCAUCUUUUCCCAGUGAAAUGCAUCUAACCAGUGGACUGAGUUGUGAUCUAGCUUGAAUUUAAGAGACUGUAAAGAUGCAUACUAACAUUUGUGACAGUUGUUUUGAGUGUUUAUUUUAACAUCAGUGAUCUUGUGUAUAUGCCGUUUAUUCAUAAGAUCUAUCUUAAGCUUAAUGAGAUUUUCUGAAUAAAUGAAACUUAACUACAUCAAGAUCAAAAACAACUUUCCAUCGUAAUGUUUACACCAACGUGGUGCUUGUAAGGCGUUAAAAAAAAUGCAAUUUCCAACUCUGUCUGCUCUGGAUCCCGUUAUAUAUUUGAAAGUUGUGGGACAGCAGUGUAAAUAAAGCCUGUGGAGCUAUUGUUUUCCUA